rnacentral:rRNA from 1 species
GACGAACGCUGGCGGCGUGCUUAACACAUGCAAGUCGAACGGUGAAGCGCCUUCCUUUUUGGUGGGUGUGGAUGAGUGGCGAACGGGUGAGUAACACGUGAGUACCCUGCCCCCUUCUUCUGGAUAACCGCAUGAAAGUGUGGCUAAUACGGGAUAUUCUGCUUCUUUCGCAUGAUGGGUCUGGGAAAGAUAUUGUUUCGGUGGGGGAUGGGCUCGCGGUCUAUCAGCUGGUUGGUGGGGUGAUGGCCUACCAGGGCGAUGAGGGGUAGCCGGCCUGGGAGGGUAGCCGGUCUCACAGGGUGUGAGACAACGCCGGGACUGCGACGCGGCGCAGCAGUGGGGAGUAGGGAGCAGUGGGGGAAAUCGUGAUGCAGCGGCGACGCGGGUGGGGUGGAGGCCUUCGGGUUGUGAAGCCCUUUCGCCAGUGAAGCAGGCCUGCCUGGUUUGUAGGUGGGUUGACGGUAGCUGGAAAAGAAGCGCCGGCUAACUACGUG